ACCACAUGCCGGAAACGGCAAAAUCACCGGCCGGCUACGCCAGAACCACUUGGCGGACACUCCAGAAUCACCUGCGGGGCAUGCCAGCACAACCUCUCAGAAGUGCCAGAAGCACGUGCCGGACAGGCCGGAACCAUCUCCCGGACAGACCGGAAACACAGGAAACACUCGCCAGAACCACCUGCUUGACUCACGGGUCCCACCUGCCAGACACGCCAAAAUCACCUGCCCAGUACACCAGAAACACUUGGCGGACAAGCCAGAAUCACGUGAAGGGCAUGCUGACACAACCUCUCAGACGUGCCAGAACUAUGUUCCGGACACGCUGGAUCCACCUGCCGAGUAUGCCAGAACCACCUGAUCCACUCCCCAAAACGACCUGCUGGACACACCAAAAUCACCUGCCGGCUAUGCCAGAACCACUCGGCAGACACUCCGGAAACAACUCCAGGACAGACCGGAACCACCUGCUGGACACGCCGGAACCAACGGCUCGACUCGCCGGAACCACCGCCGGAUAUGCAAAAUCACCUGCCGGCUACGCCAGAAAGACUUGGCGAUCACUCCGGAAUCACAUGCCGGGCAUGGCGAAAGCACCUCUCAGACAUGCCAGAACCCCAUGUCAAUGGCACCGGAAGCACCUGCCGAGCACGCCAGAACCACCUGCUCGACUUGCCAGAACCACCUGCCAGACAUGCCAAAAUCACGUGCUGGCUACGCCACAACCAGUUGGUGAACACUUCGGAAUCACCUGCCGGGCUGGCUGGAAACACCUGCCGGUCACACCCACAUCACCUGUCAGCUACGCCAGAACCACUUGGCGGACACUCCGGAAACUCCUGUCGGGCCGGCCGGAACCACCUCUCAGACGUGCCAGAACCAUGUGCCUGAGAUGCCGGAAGCACACCACAACAGACGGAAACCACCUGCCAGACCCACCAGACCACCUGCCAAGCAUGCCGGAACCACCUGCUCGACUCGCCGGAACCACUUACCUGACACGCCAAAAUCACCUGCCGGCUACACCAGAACCACUAG
rnacentral:lncRNA from 1 species